CCUACGGGUGGCAGCAGUGAGGAAUAUUGGUCAAUGGGCGCGAGCCUGAACCAGCCAAGUCGCGUGAGGGAUGACGGUCCUACGGAUUGUAAACCUCUUUUGUCGGGGAGCAAGCGUGCGUUCGUGAACGCGCGUCGAGAGUACCCGGAGAAAAAGCAUCGGCUAACUCCGUGCCAGCAGCCGCGGUAAUACGGAGGAUGCGCGCGUUAUCCGGAUUUAUCGGGUUUAAAGGGGGUGUAGGCGGGAUGCCAAGUCAGCGGGAAAAAUGCGGUGCUCAACGCCGUCGGGCCGAUGAAACUGGCGUUCUUGAGUGGGCGAGGAGGAUGCGGAAUGCGUGGUGUAGCGGUGAAAUGCAUAGAUAUUAGGAGGAACACCGGUGGCGAAGGCGGCCUGCUGGACGAUGACUGACGCUGAGGCUCGAAAGCGUGGGGAGCAAACAGGAUUAGAUACCCCUGUAGUC
rnacentral:rRNA from 1 species